rnacentral:lncRNA from 1 species
AUAUAUAACAGAAUAUAUUAAAAUUAUUUUUUAAAACAUUUUUCAAAAAACAUUGUUCGGUUUUUGGUGCGGAUUGAAUUUGAUAUUAGUUUUCAGAUAUAGCACUCUAAGAACCGCAAUUAUAAUCGUGUUUUAAUAGAAUAUAUUAAACACAAAUAUAAAUAAAAAAAAAACACAAAUAUAAAAAUUAAAUUACUCAAAAAAAUUAAAACAAAAAAUAUACCCGCCCUUCGAAAGGGCGGGUCAGAAUCUAGUACUCUAUUAAAAUAGAAUUAUGUUUUUUCUAUCUAUUGUAGAAAGGUUGUCAUUAAGUUUUGAACCUAUUAUCAUUGAGUUUUAUUAAUCUAAAUAUAAAUAUGCUCAACUCUAUUAAUUUGGCCAAUCAUUAUCUGUUAUUAAUCUUGCCAAUAUUUCGGUUGGCAUCAAAAUCAUUCCUAAAUUAACCAAAUUACAAAUAAUAGAUUUUGUAGGCAUAAAUAAUAAGUAGAAUUAUUAUAAGAAUUGCAAGAUUUUACCAUCAAUCUUGUCAGCCUUUUUAUCUCUCAUGUGAAGGUAGAAGUUGAAAUGACAAUACCACUCCCAAAAUUGAUUGAAGAACUACC